AUUGAACGCUGGCGGCAGGCCUAACACAUGCAAGUCGAGCGGAGCGGCAGACGGGUGCGUAAUGCCUAGGAAUCUGCCUGGUCGUGGGGGAUAACGACCGGAAACGGGCGCUAAUACUGCAUACUAUCAGAUGAGCCUAGGUCGGAUUAGCUAGUGCGAGGGGUAAAGGCCUACCAAGGCGACGAUCCGUAACUGGUCUGAGAGGAUGAUCAGUCACACUGGGACUGAGACACGGUCCAGACUCCUACGGUAGGCAGCAGUGGGGAAUAUUGGACAAUGGGCGAAAGCCUGAUCCAGCCAUGCCGCGUGUGUGAAGAAGGUCUUCGGAUUGUAAAGCACUUUAAGUUGGGAGGCGUUACCAGCAGAAUAAGCACCGGCUAACUUCGUGCCAGCAGCCGCGGUAAUUC
rnacentral:rRNA from 1 species